GUCUACUGCCAUACUACCCUUAACGCGCCCGAUCUAGUCUGAUCUUGGAAGCUAAGCAGGGUCAGGCCUGGUUAGUACUUCGAUGGGAAAUGUGUGGGAAUACUAGUGGCUGUAGGCU
rnacentral:rRNA from 1 species